rnacentral:lncRNA from 10 species
CAGAUCACUCACUCUUGGGGGCAUCCAGCAGCCAUGUUGUGAGGACACUCAAGCAGCUGUGAAGAGGUGCACCUGGAGAGGAACUGAGGCCUCCCACCAAAACCAAGCACUGACAUGCCACUCAUGGCAAUCACAGGAAUAUAUAAAACAUGAGCAGAAAGAGGCCUUUGGAGAAAUCUGGACCAGCAUUCUCAUUUUACGGAUGAGGGACCACGGCCCAUGGAGGUUUCCAUAGAUGAUUGGAAAAACCCAAGAGUUGGUCCUCUGUUCCAGACCCCACACAGACACAAACCUACAAGCCAAGGGAGCCAGUAUUUGGCCAUUCGUCCAUCCAUCUGCAUGUCCCAG